ensembl:lncRNA
CAUGGGUCCACUGGGAGAGGGCAAAGUGAUCUCACAAUGAAGAUUGGGAGUGGACAGCCAGUCCAGUUGCCUGGCUGGAGACCCUGGCAAUGGCUUGAGGGGGCAGCCAGCAGGAGCCAAGGUAUGACUGAGUCAGCCAGGGGAGUGGUGCUGGGAGCAGAACUGAGCCAAAAGAACAGCUCAUGAAUUCAGACUUCAGCUUCAGGGAUCAUCAGGGUGCACAGCAAACUAGUACACAGGGCACUGCCCCAGAGACAACGACUAGAAGACACCAUGCUUAAGACCCUGCGUUCCCUUUCUCUGCCCAUAUCCUUAAUCUCCCUUACAGAGAAAGGCAAGAGAGGGGAAGUCUAUCUGAGAGGCAGAACUAUUCGAUUUAAUAGUCAACAUAAAAUACCAGAUUGGACUAAGCUUUAAACCAGAUUGGACAUUUCACUAUUUUUCACUGCUAGCCAGUGAUGCGGAGCUUAUGAGGAAGACUGUAACAGAUAUAGGCUAAGUAAAGAAGUCUUAUUUUUUCCAUACAUGAGUUGUUGUUAAGUUUCUUGGCCCUCCUCCCCCACAUACAUAUUCCAUGUGGACUGUAAGGGGAAAAGAAGGAGCGUGGCUUUCCAGGAAAGCAGGAGCUGGAGAGCAGAAGCGCCGGAGCAAGAAUGAACUUCCUGGAUUACUCAGAACGAAUGUCUCUGAGGCCACAGCAGUGGGAGUUUUGAUCCCGGAAAACACUGGAGUAAAUCUGAAUCUGCUUCGGAUUUUUCCUGAACCUGGUAUUUUCCUUCUGUGUCUUAUGAAGCUUCAAAAGGCAAGAGCUCUGAGGAAGUCGUGUUUGUAUUGUCCUCAGCCAGGCACACAUGAUGGACCCAGAAGGCACUGAAAACAUCAGAAACAGCUAAUGAAUGAUGGCGAUCUUACUUCAAAAGGAAAUUUUAUGUAAGCUUUUCUUUCUUUUCCUCCUUACCCAAAAGCAGGCCUUCUUAUCCCUUCACAGGGAUUUUCCAGGGAAGAAGGAGAACAGAGAAGUAAACACACAACUGAGGUCACAGCCUGAUAUGGUUUGGAUUUGCAUCCCCGCCCAAAUCUUAUGUCAAGUUUAAAUCUUCAGUGUUGGAGGAGGGGCCUGGUGGGAGGUGACUGGAUCAUGGGGGUGGAUUUUCCCCUGGCUGUUCCUGAGAUAGUGAGUGAGUUCUCAACAGAUCUGGUUAUUUAAAAGUGUAUAGCAUCUCCUGCUUUGUUCUUCUUGCUCUGGCUCUGGCCAUGUAAGAUGUGUCUGCUUCCCCUUCACCUUUCACCAUGAUUGUGAGUUUCCUGAGUCCUCCCCAGCCAUGCUUUCUGUGUAGCCUGUGGAAACAUGAGUCAAUUAAAC